GAGGACGUCACCAUGGAAACGGGGCUCAGCCCAACUGUCAAGCAGCUGAACGGAAGCUGUCUCUCAUGGUUGUUUUCACUAAUUUCAGAAAUGGUCAGUGUCUUCAGAAAAAGUCCGUUAGCACCGUAAUGCUAACUACAAGAGAUUCUUCCAUGCUGAUGGCCGUGCAUGUAUCCCGCUGAAGAACAUUUUUAGACAUUAUGAAACAUAUGACUAAAUUAAGCUCCAACCCCAGUUAAACAGAUCUGAGCAGCUGAUCAAGGAUCAGCAGAAACUCUGCAGAACGGUGCUCCUCCAGCCCAGGACUGGACACCAGUGUUAUGCUGGAGAAAAAACAGUGAGGCUAAAGCAUUCAAAGUGGAAACAUCUGCCGUGGCUCAUUAAUCCAGAAUUGGGAUGGAGGAAGGAGGAGAAGAAGCAGAAGAUCAGAGAUCAGGCAGAGAUCUACUGGUGCCCCUGUGGGAAACCAUUUACCUAAUGUGUUAGUUAAACCAAAGAUUUUCAUCACUCACCUUUACGUUGUUCCAAGCCAGACUUUUGUUCAUCUUUGAAACAUAAAUGCAGCACUUUUUAAUAAAAUCUGAGAAUUUUUUUAAAUCUAAAAUAACGCAUUCACACAAGCACCAUGAUGCAUCAGUGUUGCAUUGGCGUGAGAGCUGGCGCUUUUGGUGCUGUUGUGAAAAUCCAUUGGGGAUUCCUAAUUUCUGAAUAGAUUUUUUUUGCUGUUGUUGUUG